AUUGGAGAGAACCAAAUGGAGUUAACAAGUUUGGAAGAUACAGGUGUAUUUCCCAUAGAACAUGAGAAUGAACACUAAAUGAGAAAUUCUUGGAAACAAAGACUGAUGCAAGAAGAAUGCCUGGUUGGAAGUGAAAAAAGCAAGAGCAAAGAUGCUGGUUCUGAGGCCAGAGGCAAUGUUGGGGAAGGAUCUUGGGACUGAGUCAGCUGGGACCAAGGAAGAGCCAACCAUACCUGGAUGGAUUUAAGGAAUGCUAAGACAGGUCCAAAGUUGGAGAGAAGAGUGAAAGGACCUGCUUACUUAUUAUCUCCCCAGCUACACUGGAAUUCUUCCACAGCUUACAUGAGGUCAUCAGCCUCUGGCCAUGUCUGGAAAACAGCAGGAGCUCAACUAAUGUUUAUUAAACUAAACUAGAUCUAAAA
rnacentral:lncRNA from 1 species